rnacentral:rRNA from 1 species
UACGGGGGGGGCAAGCGUUGUUCGGAAUUACUGGGCGUAAAGGGCCAGUAGGCGGCCAACUAAGUCCGACGUGAAAUCCCCAGGCUUAACCUGGGAACUGCGUCGGAUACUGGAUGGCUUGAAUUCGGGAGAGGGAUGCAGAAUUCCAGGUGUAGCGGUGAAAUGCGUAGAUAUCUGGAGGAAUACCGGUGGCGAAGGCGGCAUCCUGGACCGACAUUGACGCUGAACGGCGAAAGCUAGGGGAGCGAAACGGGAGUUAGAAACCC